rnacentral:rRNA from 1 species
AUUGAACGCUGGCGGCAGGCCUAACACAUGCAAGUCGAACGAGUGGCGGACGGGUGAGUAAUGUCUGGGAAACUGCCUGAUGGAGGGGGAUAACUACUGGAAACGGUAGCUAAUACCGCAUACCAUCAGAUGUGCCCAGAUGGGAUUAGCUAGUUGGUGGGGUAACGGCGAACCAAGGGGACGAUCCCUAGCUGGUCUGAGAGGAGGACAAGCCCUACUGGAACGGAGACCCGGUCCAGACUCCCACGGGAGGCAGCAGUGGGGAAUACUGCACAAUGGGCGCAAGCCUGAUGCAGCCAUGCCGCGUGUAUGAAGAAGGCCUUCGGGUUGUAAAGUACUUUCAGCGGGGAGGCGUUACCCGCAGAAGAAGCACCGGCUAACUCCGUGCCAGCAGCCGCGGUAAUUC